UAAAAAAAAAGAUUAACAAUUUUGUAAACAUUGACAUUGGAAAUGAUAUCUUCAAAAGCAAGUGCAUGAGUAACAACAUAUGUGAGAAUUGCUAAAUGCCCCAAAAAUCGGUUUAAACAAAACUGUCAUGCAAGCUAUACAUCUAAAUAAACGGGGACUUAAUAUACUUAUACUAAUCUAGGGGAUAAAAUGAAGUUAAGGUAUCCUUUCAGUAUUGUUUCCAAGCAAAUCCCUUCAUAGCUUUACACCAGAAGUCUAAAAAAUUGCCACGACCAGAAGACUAAUAGUGAUAAUCUGAACCACCGAGGUAAGCUUACAUUCUAGAUCACUCAAUCCUGUUGAAGGCAAAUUAAGGAGUUAAUUACAUUUUAGAUUCAGAUACAAUAGACAGAUACGUAAGAUGCAUCACUAUUAUGUGGAUAAAUAAGUUCAAUGAAUACAUGUUAGAAUUGCAAGACGAUGAUGUUGUUCAUACCAAAUAGUAUCCCAUCGCUACUCAUGUGUGUAUGAGUUAUGGAUCAUAUAGGGAGAUACAAUAUCUUGGUAGUUCGUGCAAUGCAUAAAGGUAAGUUCAGGUAUGAAUCUUUCUUGGUGAUUGUAUCCCCAUCAAGUCAAGUUGGUCCUUCCUGCAGCUAGCUGCACCAAGCAUUGCUCUAUUACAGGUACACAUAUAGUAGAAGGAUUUAGAUUCUCUACUUUAUUGUCUAAAACCAACAAGGAAUAAUAAAAAUAAUAUUUGACCAAAGCUGUUGCAACUUCUCUAGCAAAUUUCGAUGAAGAUUAUCUAUUGUUAUUGUCUAAAACCAAGAAGGAAUAAUGAAAAUAAUAUUUGAUCAAGGCUGUUGCAACUCCUCUAGCAAAUUUCUGCUAAGCUCUGCUAAGCAUAACAUGCAAUCUUACUAUAUGUAUUAUCACAGCCAACCACUAAUGCACAUCUUCAGCCAAAUAACUACAGAGGAGUAGAGUGGAAUCAUACAGUACCUAUGACCAGGACAACAAUCUUUUUUGCUGGAACUAUUUUUUAUGGGACCAGCCAAAACUUUUGCUGCGACCUGGCAGGAGCGAGCCAUUGUUUUUGCUGGAAAUGACGAGUUUUUUGGCCGUAAACAUUUUGUUGGAACAAAAUAUAAAUAGCAUUAACUAACAGCAAGGCUAUUGGAUCUUGACACCGAAAUAGUCAAUUAAAUAAGUAGAAGUUGUGAGGAACUACUGCUAUUUAAAAACAGAGGCAUAUUCUGUUGAUCAAAUCAGUAGGGUUUUUUUAACUGAAAAGGCCUUUCCGUUAAGCAAAAAACCUUAGAUAAAUCAUUAUUCAUGCACCUUGCCAAUUAGCACAAAUAGAGAUGCAAAUUAUCCCAGAGAGUUAGAAGACCCAAAAAAAUUAACCCGCACAUGGUGCACUCACACAUAAGAGAAGACCCAAGCAGAGCGAUCAAGCCAUGCAAUUCAAGUUAUUAAAAUACUAAUUAGUUAUUGUAUCUCGACGGAUAGUCUUAUCUAAAAACAAUUAAACGAUAUGGAGUAGUUUGCAAGGAGUAUAUACAUACUAUUUUUUCAAAUGGGAUAUAUACAACUAUUCUCAGAGUAUAUGCCUAUGAUACUGGCAAUAACGAUCAGUGUAUACUCAUUGUCACAAAGGAGUGUAUGGUGUGUUUUCUUUUCAAAUGAUAGUAUACUAUUUUUCGCAAAGGGGUAUAGAAGAGAGGGCCUUUCUGUAUGGUGUGUUUCAGUAUCGAUCAACAGUAUAUGUUUCUUUCUGUCUUGUCGUACAUAUACUUCACUGCUGAGGAGAAAGUAUACACCAAAAAAAUUAAGUACUGAACCAAGGGAAACCUGUGAGGAGAAGCAUGCAUGCAUCCGGUGAGAAAAAGUAAAAGUGAUAAAAAGUAGUAUAUACUUGAACAAAAGUAGUAUAUACUAUAUUAUCUGAAAAAGUAAGAAGAAUGAAUUUCAAAUACUCGUGGCAAUUUAAAUGAUAGACAAAAGUAGUCUUUGAUGACAGAUGCAAAUUGAUGACACUGCAGUAUGUACCUCAGGUCAGACAAAGUUCCGGCGAACAGUCGAGUACGAGAAGUGUACAGCCACGCGAGGUCGGAAACGUGAGGCGCAACGAUAAGCCAAAAAACUUCAUAUUAUCCAACCUUGCAUUAGAAUCCAAAAGGGUUCAGUGAUGUGUGCCUCUCUCUCUGCUCUCUCUGUUCCUCUCAUAUUUCUCCUUUUUUCUCACCAAAAUACAACGCAAGAGAACAUAUGAUAUACGUCCAUCCGUCGUGAAAAUGACAAUGCUCUAUUUAUAAUUGACACAUUGUUAUGAGUCCAAACUAAAUAAGGUCUCGUCAAUUCUGGGAUUAAGAAAUUGGAAGCACCUUAUAUAUUUGUUCUAUAUUGCAAAAACAACACUGCUUCAUUUGACAGGACUACAACACUCAGCCGUAGAGAGAAAAGGUUGCCAAACCUGAGGAUUAAACCGCAGCCUCCAUGGAUGAAAGUGGAAUUGGACAGUCAGCUUAAGUGCUGGGGUAGCCGGGUGGUACUGUCCCUAGAUCGUUCCCUUAGCUCAAACAUACUGGCUUUUGCGUCGUCGAUGUCGUGUUGUAACUCAGCACUUGCACCUGCCGGUCAGAAAAAUAUUCGCUAAUAUCAAGAACUCAAUCCACAAAGACUGGUUGAACCAACAAUUGAGUCAGUGGUGAAGUAGAUUACCAAAAGAACAAAUAAGAGAACAUGUAUAGCAUUUCCGGAGCAUGUGUUUAACGCUACAAACCUGGGUUUUUUAAAAGAUUGUUCAUGGCCUCCCCUGCUAGCCGAUAAACAUCUAAUGAACGGUCAAAAUGGGUGUGGAUGGCCCUGGGUACAUGAGGUGCGUAAGACCUAAAAAACAACAAUACAAAGUAUAUUGUAAAUUCUGUCAGAACUUGAUUUCACCAUAAAAAAACUCACAGCUAUGUUCAUUUCAGAAGAAAAAAAUAAGAACAUUCAAAUGUCCAGUUAAAUUUUGGGAAGAUGACAGUUGCUGGCACCGGAUCAACCAGCAGGAGGCACGUGAGGACAUGGUCGUACUGGUCGCCGAGGCACAGGACGGCGGCCAGGAUCUCCUCUUGCACGAUACACUCAUCUUCCUGUUGCUUCAAUAGUUCAGUAUGGUGCUGAAGACAACUUCUCCUCUUUCUCUCCAUUCUCUAGGCUAAUAUAAUCAAUUAGAAUGUACAGAACAUGAGUAGCAUCUGAACGAAAACCUUCACAUUAGUGCUGGAUGGAACACCAAAGGAACAAAAAAAUGGAAAAAUAC
rnacentral:lncRNA from 1 species